rnacentral:sRNA from 1 species
GUGUAGCUUUCAGUCCUGAUGGCAGGUAUCUGGCAAGUGGUUCUUUUGACAAAUGUGUACACAUCUGGAACACACAGGUGUCCGCCACCAUAGUUCAUUU